rnacentral:rRNA from 1 species
GACGUAGGGCGCGAGCGUUGUCCGGAUUUAUUGGGCGUAAAGAGCUCGUAGGCGGUUUGUCGCGUCUGCCGUGAAAGUCCGGGGCUCAACUCCGGAUCUGCGGUGGGUACGGGCAGACUAGAGUGAUGUAGGGGAGACUGGAAUUCCUGGUGUAGCGGUGGAAUGCGCAGAUAUCAGGAGGAACACCGGUGGCGAAGGCGGGUCUCUGGGCAGUAACUGACGCUGAGGAGCGAAAGCGUGGGGAGCGAACAGGA